rnacentral:misc_RNA from 1 species
GGAAAAUUUUGGCACAAAGAGGGAACUUCCCACUUAGGCAGAAUCUUUAAAGAACCCAACAGUAUCCAAAAACUACCCAUUACCAAGCAAAAACCAUUAAAUCAAUAAAGAUGUCUCUGACCCAAAAUAUUCUAUUCCCUAACAAGAGCCUCAGAAUUUAAAGUGCUGCCAGGAAUUCUUCAUGCAGUCACAGGGUACUCAAAAACAACAUCUUUCCCGCAGAGCUUACGGUAGACACCAGAAAAUGUCUCCAGCUUGUUUUCAGUGUUGUUCCGCUCCUUUGGAUCAAGGUAAAUCUUCAUAAGCUUGGAUCCAUCAAGACGAUAUCUGACUCGCUUCCCA